rnacentral:rRNA from 1 species
AGUGAACGCUGGCGGUAGGCCUAACACAUGCAAGUCGAACGGCAGCACAGUAAGAGCUUGCUCUUACGGGUGGCGAGUGGCGGACGGGUGAGGAAUACAUCGGAAUCUACUUUUUCGUGGGGGAUAACGUAGGGAAACUUACGCUAAUACCGCAUACGACCUACGGGUGAAAGCAGGGGAUCUUCGGACCUUGCGCGAUUGAAUGAGCCGAUGUCGGAUUAGCUAGUUGGCGGGGUAAAGGCCCACCAAGGCGACGAUCCGUAGCUGGUCUGAGAGGAUGAUCAGCCACACUGGAACUGAGACACGGUCCAGACUCCUACGGGAGGCAGCAGUGGGGAAUAUUGGACAAUGGGCGCAAGCCUGAUCCAGCCAUACCGCGUGGGUGAAGAAGGCCUUCGGUUUGUAAAGCCCUUUUGUUGGGAAAGAAAAGCAGCAGGUUAAUACCCCGCUGUUCUGACGGUACCCAAAGAAUAAGCACCGGCUAACUUC